UCACCGCUUACGCGGGCAGUCUCAUUAAAGUCCCCAGCAUAACCUGUUAGCAACUAGCGACAGGGGUUGCGCUCGUUAAUGGACUUAACCAAACACUUCACAGCACGAGCUGACGACAGCCAUGCAGCACCUGUGCACGUUGUACCCUUGCGGGCCUCAUUGAUGUUUCCACCAACUAAUCCGUGCAUGUCAAACCCAGGUAAGGUUCUUCGCGUUGCUUCGAAUUAAGCAACAUGCUCCACCGCUUGUGUGAGCCCCCGUCAAUUUCUUUGAGUUUUAGCCUUGCGACCGUACUCCCCAGGCGGCACACUUAUCAAUUCCUCUGCGACCAAUACGGGGUGAAACCCGCAUCGAUCUAGUGUGCAUCGUUUAGGGCGUGGACUAC
rnacentral:misc_RNA from 1 species